rnacentral:rRNA from 1 species
GGGGCAGCAUUUGAAGCUUGCUUCAAUGAUGGCGACCGGCGCACGGGUGAGUAACACGUAUCCACCUGCCGAUAACUCGGGGAUAGCCUUUCGAAAGAAAGAUUAAUACCCGAUAGUUCCGCAUGGUUAAAGAAUUUCGGUUAUCGAUGGGGAUGCGUUCCAUUAGAUAGUUGGCGGGGUAACGGCCCACCAAGUCAACGAUGGAUAGGGGUUCUGAGAGGAAGGUCCCCCACAUUGGAACUGAGACACGGUCCAAACUCUACGGGAGGCAGCAGCGAGGAAUAUUGGUCAAUGGACGAGAGUCUGAACCAGCCAAGUAGCGUGAAGGAUGACUGCCUAUGGGUUGUAAACUUCUUUUAUACGGGAAUAAGUGGAGUAUGCAUACUCCUUUGUAUGUACCGUAUGAAUAAGGAUCGGCUAACUCCGUGCCAGCAGCCGCGGUAAUACGGAGGAUCCGAGCGUUAUCCGGAUUUAUUGGGUUUAAAGGGAGCGUAGGCGGGUGUUAAGUCAGUUGUGAAAGUUUGCGGCUCAACCGUAAAAUUGCAGUUGAUACUGGGCGCCUUGAGUGCAGCAUAGGUAGGCGGAAUUCGUGGUGUAGCGGUGAAAUGCUUAGAUAUCACGAAGAACUCCGAUUGCGAAGGCAGCUUACUGGACUGUAACUGACGCUGAUGCUCGAAAGUGUGAGUAUCAAACAGGAUUAGAUACCCUGGUAGUCCACACAGUAAACGAUGAAUACUCGCUGUU